rnacentral:lncRNA from 1 species
CCCUUUUAUAAAUAAACCCUAUUGGUUUGAAGAUCCAAAGCUUAAAUGGGUGUAAACCCUAGGGUUUAAAUUGAAAUAAAAUCUUUCCAAAGCCUUUUGAGAUUCAAAUUUGAAUUCAAAUAUGCAAUUGUGGCAUGAUACUCAUGGAUGCAAUGCAUAUGAAAGGAUUUGAAAUUUUGGGACGUUACAAAAAGCGCGCUUCGCCGUGCUGUUGAUGGCUGUGCAGGUACUGACACAUGACUGCUCAUGAACUACGCUAAGAAU